AUUGAACGCUGGCGGCAGGCCUAACACAUGCAAGUCGAGCGGGGUUUUCGGACCUAGCGGCGGACGGGUGAGUAAUGCGUAGGAAGCUGCCCGAUAGAGGGGGAUACCAGUUGGAAACGACUGUUAAUACCGCAUAAUGUCUACGGACCAAAGUGUGGGACCUUCGGGCCACAUGCUAUCGGAUGCGCCUACGUGGGAUUAGCUAGUUGGUGAGGUAAUGGCUCACCAAGGCGACGAUCUCUAGCUGGUUUGAGAGGAUGAUCAGCCACACUGGAACUGAGACACGGUCCAGACUCCUACGGGAGGCAGCAGUGGGGAAUAUUGGACAAUGGGCGCAAGCCUGAUCCAGCCAUGCCGCGUGUGUGAAGAAGGCCUUCGGGUUGUAAAGCACUUUCAGCGAGGAGGAAGGGGUGAGUGUUAAUAGUACUCAUCUUUGACGUUACUCGCAGAAGAAGCACCGGCUAACUCUGUGCCAGCCGCCGCAGUAAGAC
rnacentral:rRNA from 1 species